GUUCUAAGAACGAACAAUCACCAGCAUUAAUUCCAAUAACAAUGAAUUAAAUUUUAAAAAAUAUUUCAAGCCUUCAUGGAAACAUUAAGAUAUUUCAUUAUAAUACUUUGUUGCGCAUGAAAUCGCUCACAAUUUCAUACAUGUAAAUAUAUUACAUUCGUAAUAAAGUUCUGUAUUUUAGCAGUUAUGGUAACGUUAACGCUGACAAAGGAAUAUGUCUUAUAGCAGUAUUUUCAGUAAUAAACGUAGUAAUAAGGGGUUCAUUAAUAAGGGGAGCUGAAAAAAAUACAUAGCAGUAGCCAGAAGGACUACUAAAAUUCGAUUGUGUUCCACUCUAUAUAAACCCGAUCAACAAGCCGAAAGUGGAACUGAAUAUUCUUGUUUCGCAACGCCAAUUUACUAACAAUAUUUAUGAAGCAGAAAAUUCUCAAAAUAAAACGCGACGAGUGCUUCGUUAUAUCUGCAAUAUCAAUUACUCUACUAUUAAAAAAAAAAAAAAAAGAAAAAAAAAGAGGAAUAGGAAAAGAAGAGGGCUUUCAAUAAGAACCAGCGAACACGAAGUUUGGAAAUUCGAGAAUCGCCGUAGAUCGAUUUCGUCGGUUGAUGGCCACCGAGAAAACUGGGGAAAGGGUUUAGAAGUUGGACUUUCUUUUUGCAAAAAAAGAAUAAGAGCUUGUACAGUGUACAAGAAAAAAGGCUGUUUUAAAAAGGAUCUUCUGUUCCUCUUCUAAAGUAACUUUUCUCGAGUUAUUGAUCUUUUUUUACACGCCCACGUACACUCGAUAAAUAUGGCACACAAGAGUCAUCAAGAUUCAACGAGAGUCUACAUCAUAUGAUACAAGUUCUCUUCAAAAACUAGUAAACGAACACAGAACAAAAGAAAAAAGGAUGGAGAAAGGAUAUAGAAAAAAGUAACAAAUAGAAUGAACGUAAAAGUAACAAAAUCGCUGGCACAAAUGACAGAAUCGUAAGAGAUGAAAAAUAACUAUCUAAUCGAUCG
rnacentral:misc_RNA from 1 species